CUGCAAGGACUCUUAAAACGGCUCUUCUCAUUCGUAGUUCACAUAGGAAGAAAGUCGGGUAUCAAACAUGAAAUUCAUCUAUGUUUCUAGAAAAUUUGGUUACUCAAACUGGUAUAAGGUAAAUUUAACGGGUUUUGGUGAAGUUGUGUGUUAGUCCAACCACAGGUUCGAGUCACCCACAGAUCCACAAUUCACCUACGACCUAUGAUUCCAUAGGGGUAAUUGAGGGAGCUUAUAUGUGUGAUGUAUCGUUGCAUUUGUAAUUUGAUUAUAACAUUAGUUAAUCUAGAUGGGCAUGCUUCACAGACUUUUUCUAACCCACUCCCAGUUCUAAACUUUCACAUUGGUAAUUGGCCUCCUAAAAGAUGCAUGACUGUGCAGAUAAAUAUAACAAUUGAAAUUGUCUUAAAUUAUGUAAGAGAUCUAAAAAGUCGUAUAAGAAGAAGCAUGACAGUAUGGUUAAAUUUGUAUGUUCAAUUUAUUUGUUUGUUGGUGCAUGCAUGUUUACUUUGCAAUAAAAAUAUUUAACCCUGACAAUUGUUUUUGGUGUGUAAACAGGAGCAAUGAAAGCGCCAAGCUUUUUUUCCCAUAAUUUAUCUUAAAGGUGGUAUGACCGAGUGUAGUUUAUUAAAGGUGGUAUGUUCACCUGCAUUGGUUUUCAUUCAUCGUCUCGAAAAGAUAUUCAAUAGUUCAAAUAACCAGAGUUCAUAUAUUUAUACUUCUGCUGUGAUUUGUGAUCAGACCAACCCUAUACCCAAUCACUCGAUCUCAUAGUUUUCGGCUUUUUGAAUCUUUAUCUUUGAUGGUAGGAGGACUUGAAGAAAACAUCCAUGAUAAACUUUUUUAGUCUUCUUUCGAGUCAUGUAGUUAGAUGUAUUGCAGCCAUUUGCUAAUUACGAUUGUUGAAAAAUAUUGUACUCAUUCAGUUCCCACUACUGUAAAUAUCUACCUUUUGCUCUGGUGUUUCCUCAAGUCCUUUGUAAGAAGACAAUGGCACAAGUUAGUAUGACAUUUGUCCUACUACUAGUCUUUGUCUCGCGCUCUGCUGCGAGUAAUUUUC